GACGAACGCUGGCGGCGUGCUUAACACAUGCAAGUCGAACGGAAAGGCCCUGCUUUUGUGGGGUGCUCGAGUGGCGAACGGGUGAGUAACACGUGAGUAACCUGCCCUUGACUUUGGGAUAACUUCAGGAAACUGGGGCUAAUACCGGAUAGGAGCUCCUGCUGCAUGGUGGGGGUUGGAAAGUUUCGGCGGUUGGGGAUGGACUCGCGGCUUAUCAGCUUGUUGGUGGGGUAGUGGCUUACCAAGGCUUUGACGGGUAGCCGGCCUGAGAGGGUGACCGGCCACAUUGGGACUGAGAUACGGCCCAGACGCAUACGGGAGGCAGCAGUGGGGAAUAUUGCACAAUGGGCGGAAGCCUGAUGCAGCAACGCCGCGUGCGGGAUGACGGCCUUCGGGUUGUAAACCGCUUUCGCCUGUGACGAAGCGUGAGUGACGGGAAUGGGUAAAGAAACACCGGCUAACUACGG
rnacentral:rRNA from 1 species